CAAAGGGUUCAGGAAAAAUAACAUAUAGCUGCACCAGCACACAAGUACCUACGUAAUACUUGGUCAUACCUAAUAUUGAAGUGGAUCAAAAUAAAAACAACAUGCAUAAUAGUUCAAAUAAAGCAUACUUGGUAGAACAGAAAUACUUAGAUGAAUUUAAACAUUUUGAACCGGUUUCUGAUGUAAACAAUUCCAAACAAAAACAAGGCACUCGACGAAUGAAGAUUAAAGAGUAUAAAAUUAUUCAGAAUGAAAAAGCUAUUGCGAGAUCACCUGCUUACUAUAAAUUUGAUAGAUCAACAACACAAAUUUUAGAAAUGUUUUUUAUCCAACAGCAUUCAGGGGGAUUUCAUAAUAUUGUUGGUAAAGGAAUAAACUCUGUAGUGAUACAUGCACACUGUUAUGGGAAUUAUCACACAUACUUCCCAGACGGUAAUGCUGUUAAAGUAUACAAAUUGAGUAAUUGUGUAGAAAAAAACAAUGCUAUAUAUAAGCGUGUGCAAAGGGAAAAUGAACAUUUGGAGAUUUUACGGAGUCAGCAUUUUUCUAACAACACUCCACAUCCGGUGUAUAAGAAUAAAAAUGUUAUUAUUAUGAGUUUCAUUGGAUCAAAUCAGGAAACUGCGCCAUCUAUAUCAACACUCCCGUCUGAAAAGUUGAAUGAUACUUAUAACGAAAUUGUGAAAGAGAUAGACACAUGGUACAAAAAAUUGGGUUUAAUACAUGGGAGUCUCUCAGCAAGUAAAAUUGUUUGGUUGGAUAGUUUAUAUUUUAUAGGAUGGUCACAUUCUGUGAGGAAGGAUCAUCCCAUGGCCUUAAGAAAGCUAAUGAAAGACUGUCAGUUUGUUUCAAUGUUCUUCAAAAGCAUAGGAGUCUCGGUGAAGAGUGCUGAAGAAUUGUUCAAGGCAAUCACAGGGCUCGAGAAGAUUAGCAGCAAAGUUCUAGAAGUAGUACACAAAGAUUUAUGGAAGGAUCCGCAGGCGUCUAACCCCAACAGAAAAACUUCUCAAGGUUUUAAAACCACUCAGAAUCGUUUUAAAUGUUAACGAAAUAAAACAAUUGGAUCUUUUGUAACAUAAUAUUUAUAUAUUAUGAUUUCUGCUUCA